rnacentral:rRNA from 1 species
UAGGGAAUCUUCGGCAAUGGGGGCAACCCUGACCGAGCAACGCCGCGUGAGUGAAGAAGGUUUUCGGAUCGUAAAGCUCUGUUGUAAGUCAAGAACGGGUGUGAGAGUGGAAAGUUCACACUGUGACGGUAGCUUACCAGAAAGGGACGGCUAACUACGUGCCAGCAGCCGCGGUAAUACUAGGUCCCGAGCGUUGUCCGGAUUUAUUGGGCGUAAAGC